UACGCAGCCAAAAAAAACCAACCCGCAAAAACCUAUCGAUCCCCUCGACGACACAGAGCCGCCGCCCUCUCGUGCGAUCCGCUGCCGCCACCUCCGAUCCGCUCCUCCUCUCCCGAGGAUACGCAGCCGCAUCCGCCAACGCCGAUCCGGGCAGACUCGGCCGUCGUGGAUCACGAGGAUCCGGAUGAUGGGGCGGCAGAGAUGGCCACGGAUCUGUUACGGCGACGACGGCACCGGAUCCGCACCCGCAACAUCCGGAUGGAGGCCGGCGACGAACCCUAGCCUAGCCAUCAGCAUCGGGAUCCAACCCCUGCUCUCGGUGCUGGGGCAAGGCAUAUGGGGGUGCUUGCUGCCGCGGUGGACCUCGACGCCGGCGACAUCUGCAGCAUCUCCCUCCUGUCGGGCUGCAGGACCUGUACGCCCAAGGUACGCCUCCUCCUCCUUCCUUUCCCCUCCCUACCAAGACUGCAGCUUGCUGAUGUGUCGAUUAGUGGUAGUGAUGGAUCUAGGAUGAGGAUAAACUGGCGAAUAAUCCAUCAUGGAUACGCAGUGUGAUUAAAUCUCACUGGCAGUCUACACAACACUUGAUGGGAGUUUGAAAAUAACAGUCCAUAAUAAAGGGCCGUGGUGUCUACUAUGAUUUUCAGAAAGGUGAGUGCAUUUGUGAAGCUUCCUGCAGAGUUUCACAUGAUGAGUAGGUAAAUGUGCUGCUUGUGCAUUUACCAAGUAGUUAUAUAGGAGAGCACACAAGCAACAGACUACAUAGCUUGUGCUAAUUUCCAUGAUAAGUUUUAUCGCAUAUGAACAAGUUAUAUUGCCAGUUAAGUUAUUAAUAGAAAUUGAGUUGCUUAUCAUUGAGUAAAAGACAUUCCUUUAGAGUAUUUACAGUUUUAUACUAAUACUUUAUCAAGGUGAUAUGCUGAAGAUUUGUGAUUAUCACAGUAUGGCCUUUACAUUGCUUCUGUAUGAUCUGAACCUGUUGAGCUCAUCACAAAGACCAUAAAAAUUGGCUCUAUCCCUGAUGUCCAAUAAAAAAGGGGAACUAUGGCCUCAGAUCGAAAAAGUUUCUUUUCCUUUGUGAUUUUGCAGCGGGACUUGCUUAUGGAGACGUUCGCUCUGGGUCAAAGCUUAAGAGUAUUGAUGCUUUUGACCAUUUAAUUAGUGUUUAGGCCUGAAGCUUUUGGUCUCAGUCCGACAGCUAAAAGUUGCAUUGGCUUGUAAAAAACUUCAUGUGACUGGACCAGUAGGGGGAGGAUAGCUUCAUAUGGAAAAUAAUUCUCCAUGGGGGAGGAUUUCCACAGUAACCCUGGGCUGGUUAACCUAUUUGGAAUAGAAUUCCCUGAUUUGAAUAUCAAGCAUUCACAACUUCAGAAUACAUUGUCUCGAGGCCGGAUCAAGCGCAUCGCCGAUGCCACGAUCGCCGAUCUGCCGUGCUGCUCCUCUCAUGUGCGCCCUCGACGCUGACGCCGUCCUAUUUUCCGCAGCCAUCGCCGUCGGGCUCCGCGUCUACGCGCCCCUUCAAACCUACUGGAUGCAAUCUCGCAUUGCGCUGUCGUCCGCACUGUCUGGCACCACCUAUGGACACAGAACGACGGAUCAAGGUUUAAUGACUUUGAUCAGGCAAGAUACAUUCUGCCCGCUCAUCUCCCCGUGUUGCCGCUGGCUCCUGGACUGUGUCAUGGCCACACUGAAGACGGGACACUUGUGGUUAUCUUCAUGUGUCAUUGGUGGUCAGAGAAACCAAACAAAGCUGGAGUGAAAGGUCUAGGAGUUUCAAUACAGAACAAAGGGUCUACGAGUUUCAAUACAUUGUUGAAAAAUUGUGCCAAACAUUAAGGUUGAUUUCAGUUCCUUCACCCUUCUAGAGCAUAAGAAAAAUAUGGUGCUUUGCUUGAAAAAAAUGUGGCUUAAUUCUGGAAAGCAUUAAGUUUCCAUGCAUGCUGAUACUGAUCAAUCCAUAACUCUAAAAACAUGAUACCCUCUUUCACAUGCUUCAUAUAAGUUGUGCACAUGCCAUCUCGCCAAGCACUGAUAACAUGUUUUGUUUAACAGAUCAUCUGAGAUUUGCAUAAUUGUUUUGAGAAUGAGCAGGGCAGCAUCGACACCGGCCUCGAUCAGUGUUGGGGCAAUGGUGAACCAAUGAAGAAGCUUAAGGCGGCUCAGGUAGGGUGGCACACGAUAUUGACAUCGGCCACGACCAGCGUCGGAGGAUGGGUCAUUGGGACGGAAGGAGGAAGACAAAGAGGAGGAAGAAGACGAUGAUCACCAAAUUUUACCACCGAUAAAAAACAUGUGACCGAUGCAUAGUUGCUCUUAUAGUAUCUGCUAAAGAAAUUGAUAAAAGAUGAUAUAUAUUCGUAGGACUUCACUCAUGUCACUUAGUCACCAGUUUGAUUUAUUUUCCUGUAUUUUGCCCAGGCAACGCACGGGCAUUGUACUAGCAACCGGCUCCGGGCCCAGCCUACAUUAGUGGGUGUGUUAUGUAUUCGCAAGGUUGUGUCCAGUAUAAGACUUAAUUCCUUGUAACCAUAAAUGUGAGCUAGGAAGAAUAAAAUUUGUGCUCUAUUGAACUUA